rnacentral:rRNA from 1 species
UACGUAGGGGGCCAGCGUUGUCCGGAAUCAUUGGGCGUAAAGCGCGCGUAGGCGGCCAGAUAAGUCCGGUGUGAAAGUCAAAGGCUCAACCUUUGAAUGCCGCUGGAAACUGUCUGGCUUGAGUCCGGGAGGGGCGAGUGGAAUUCCUGGUGUAGCGGUGAAAUGCGCAGAUAUCGGGAAGAACACCCGUGGCGAAGGCGGCUCUCUGGGACGGUACUGACGCUGAGACGCGAAAGCGUGGGGAGCGAACAGG